UAGGGAAUUUUGCGCAAUGGACGAAAGUCUGACGCAGCAACGCCGCGUGAGUGAUGAAGGUCUUCGGAUUGUAAAGCUCUGUUGAGUGGAAAGAAAAGCCUCGAUGCUAAUCAGUUGAGGUCUGACGGUACCACUCGAGUAAGCCCCGGCUAACUACGUGCCAGCAGCCGCGGUAAUACGUAGGGGGCAAGCGUUGUUCGGAAUCACUGGGCGUAAAGGGAGCGUAGGCGGAAUUAUAAGUUAGAAGUUUAAUUCAUAGGCUUAACCUGUGUGUGGCUUCUAAUACUGUAAUUCUUGAGUAUGAAAGAGGGAGAUGGAAUUCCAGGUGUAGCGGUGGAAUGCGUAGAUAUCUGGAAGAACACCAGCAGCGAAGGCGGUCUCCUGGUUCAAUACUGACGCU
rnacentral:rRNA from 1 species